GCCUAUUAAAAGAGUUGGAAAAUACGAACAAUAGUUUAAACACUAAAGAAUUUGGCGGUGUUUUAUUUAAUUAGGGGAACCUGUCCCAUAAUCGAUAACCCACGAAGGCCUUACCUAAUUUUGAAACUCAGUUAGUGUACUGCCGUCUUAAGUAUACCUUUAUGAGAGUAUACAAUUAAUUAUAAAUAAUAAUACGUCAGGUCAAAGUGCAGCUUAUAAUUAGGUGGAGAUGGGUUACAAUCUUAAUAAAGAUACGGAAAAAUAUAAUAAACAAUAUUUUAAAGGUGGACUUAAUAGUAAUUAAAUAAUAGUUUAAUGAAUAUAACUC
rnacentral:rRNA from 1 species